rnacentral:tRNA from 1 species
GUCUUCGUAACUCAGCUGGAUAGAGUGCACCCCUCCUAAGGGUGAUGUCGUGGGUUCGAAUCCCGCCGAGGACGCCA